AGAGUUUGAUCAUGGCUCAGAUUGAACGCUGGCGGCAGGCCUAACGCAUGCAAGUCGAGCGGUAACAGAGAGAAGCUUGCUUCUUUGCUGACGAGCGGCGGACGGGUGAGUAAUACUUGGGAACUUGCCUCUAGGCGGGGGACAACCACUGGAAACGGUGGCUAAUACCGCAUAAUGUCUACGGACCAAAGUGGGGGACCUUCGGGCCUCACACCUAGAGAUGGGCCCAAGUGGGAUUAGCUAGUUGGUGAGGUAAUGGCUCACCAAGGCGACGAUCCCUAGCUGUUCUGAGAGGAUGAUCAGCCACACUGGGACUGAGACACGGCCCAGACUCCUACGGGAGGCAGCAGUGGGGAAUAUUGCACAAUGGGCGCAAGCCUGAUGUAGCCAUGCCGCGUGUGUGAAGAAGGCCUUCGGGUUGUAAAGCACUUUCAGUGGUGAGGAAGGUCAGUAAGUUAAUAGCUUGCUGAAUUGACGUUAGCCACAGAAGAAGCACCGGCUAACUCCGUGCCAGCAGCCGCGGUAAUACGGAGGGUGUAAGCGUUAAUCGGAAUUACUGGGCGUAAAGCGUACGUAGGCGGUGUGUUAAGCAAGAUGUGAAAGCCCCGGGCUCAACCUGGGAAUUGCAUUUUGAACUGGCACGCUAGAGUCCUGAAGAGGGUGGUAGAAUUUCCAGUGUAGCGGUGAAAUGCGUAGAUAU
rnacentral:rRNA from 1 species